rnacentral:rRNA from 1 species
UACGUAGGCAGCGAGCGUUGUUCGGAGUUACUGGGCGUAAAGGGUGUGUAGGCGGUUGUUCAAGUUUGGUGUGAAAUCUCCCGGCUCAACUGGGAGGGUGCGCCGAAUACUGAAUGACUUGGAGUGCGGGAGAGGUGAGUGGAAUUCCUGGUGUAGCGGUGAAAUGCGUAGAUAUCAGGAGGAACACCGGUGGUGUAGGCGGCUCACUGGACCGUAACUGACGCUGAGACACGAAAGCGUGGGUAGCAAACAGG